rnacentral:rRNA from 1 species
AUUGAACGCUGGCGGCAUGCUUUACACAUGCAAGUCGAACGGUAACAGGCCGCAAGGUGCUGACGAGUGGCGAACGGGUGAGUAAUGCAUCGGAACGUGCCCAGUCGUGGGGGAUAACGCAGCGAAAGCUGCGCUAAUACCGCAUACGAUCUAUGGAUGAAAGCGGGGACCGGAAGGCCUCGCCCGAUUUGAACCGCCCGUGGCAGAUUAGGUAGUUGGUGGGGUAAAGGCUCACCAUGCCAACGAUCUGUAGCUGGUCUGAGAGGACGACCAGCCACACUGGGACGGAGACACGGCCCAGACUCCUACGGGAGGCAGCAGUGGGGAAUUUUGGACAAUGGGCGCAAGCCUGAUCCAGCAAUGCCGCGUGCAGGAAGAAGGCCUUCGGGUUGUAAACUGCUUUUGUACGGAACGAAAAGGCUCUGGUUAAUACCUGGGGCUCAUGACGGUACCGUAAGAAUAAGCACCGGCUAACUACGUGCCAGCAGCCGCCGUAA